rnacentral:rRNA from 1 species
CCUACGGGUGACAGCAGUAGGGAAUAUUGCUCAAUGGGGGAAACCCUGAAGCAGCGACGCCGCGUGGAGGAUGAAGGAUUUAGGAUUGUAAACUCCUAUCAGUAGAGAAGAUAAUGACGGUAUCUAACGAAUAAGCACCGGCUAACUCCGUGCCAGCAGCCGCGGUAAUACGGAGGGUGCAAGCGUUACUCGGAUUUACUGGGUGUAAAGGGUGCGUAGGCGGGGUACUAAGUCAGAUGUGAAAUGCUGUAGCUUAACUACAGAACUGCAUUUGAAACUGGUAAUCUAGAGUGUGGGAGGGGUAAGCGGAAUUCUUGGUGUAGGGGUGAAAUGCGUAGAGAUCAAGAGGAACACUGAUGGCGAAGGCGACUUACUGGAACAUUACUGACGCUGAGGCACGAAAGCGUGGGGAGCAAACAGGAUUAGAUACCCGAGUAGUC